rnacentral:lncRNA from 1 species
AACAACUUUAAAAACUAUCUAAAAUGUGAUAUAAAUAUGUUAAUUUCACAAAAGCAUUAUUCAACAGAAAAUUGAGAUAUGUCUACAUAUAAAUGCUUAUAAACAAAUCUAAUCAAAAUACCAUUAUACAUAGCACAUUGUUUGCCGUAAUAUUAAGUAUCAUAUGCUGUUAUUAAUUGUGGGAAUACCAAUUUUUGUAAAUUUACCAGUAUAGGUGAUCUGAGAAUUUAAAUGUUCAACAAAGUACAAAUUUUCAAUAAGCUUGAAUGCAAAC